AGCGAACCUGCGAAGGCAAGCGGAUCUCUUAAAGCCGUUCUCAGUUCGGACUGUAGGCUGCAACUCGCCUACACGAAGCUGGAAUCGCUAGUAAUCGCGAAUCAGCAUGUCGCGGUGAAUACGUUCCCGGGCCUUGUACACACCGCCCGUCACACCAUGAGAGUUGGCAAUACCCAACGUACGUGAUCUAACCCGCAAGGGAGGAAGCGUCCUAAGGUAGGGUCAGCGAUUGGGGUGAAGUCGUAACAAGGUAAC
rnacentral:rRNA from 1 species